AAUAUAAAGAGACGAAGAAACAAAAGCAAAGCAAACAAACUGCUGUCAAAUAAUUCAACGUUGUGUGAUGAUCACUGUGCCUCGUGUAAAAUCCUCCGAUCAGAAACGCGCAAGUUGGACGAUUCCGAAGAGAAGGAAGAAAAAUACACCUUGUUAAAAUCAAUUUCUUUUUCUCCAAGAAGAUAGCAACAUAAAAAUACAAAGUAACGAAAGCAAAGCAAACAAACUGCUGUCAAAUAAUUCAACGUUGUGUGCCUCGCGUAAAAUUCUCCGAUCAGAAACGCACAAGUUGAAAGAUUCCGAAGAGACGGAAGAAAAAUACAGCUUGUUAAAAUCAAUUUCUCUUUGCUCCAAAAAAUACCGGUACGAAAAGAGGAGAAAGCAAAACGAAAGCGUAGAAACUGGCAUGAAAUAAUCCAACGCUUGCCCGACAAUCACUAUUCCAAAUUUCUCACCUAUAGUCCUCCGAUCAUGCACGCAGAAGCUGUACAGUUCGCAUGAUCGAUAAAAUGGUCCAUCCAUUCCCGUACUCGCAUCCACGAGGAGCAGAAGCGUUCCAUGGUCCGUGACAGCGACGCGAUGGCGACCGGUUUGGGGCGGUCUCACCCCUUGUUUCUCGCCAUACCAUUGGAGAACCAAGGGGAUGCUGCACGAGAGAGACGAAUGAACAGAGACCGAACGAUGAACGACGAAGGGAUGUUUUCAGGGGCGUGGUUUCAGCAACAUCGAGAUGAUCCUUGAAAUCGUUCCUCGGGGUGCAUCCUGUCCACGCGACAGCCAGAAAUCUUAUCAGAGACAUCGUCUAUCUCGUCGAGUAAUCGUGUUUGACUGAUUCACUGGGUGAAAGGUAUUUUUAUGCUUGGAUGUUUUUGUAAGAAAAAUAGUUUAGAAGAUAUAAAGCAUCGAAUACAGUGGUGUGAUAUGUUUUUAAAGUAUGUAAAGAAAUUGAUAAUCUGUGAGUGACGGUGGUCGGUUGAAGUCUCAAGUAAUACAGGUAGGGAAGACAGUAAUUUUUCGACGCUAAUUAUCGGCGAAGGAAGAAUGAAUUAUUUUAAAGAAUUGGAAGACUUAUCGAAGACGGGAAUAGAAACUGUGCAGUGAUCGUUUGAUUUAAAGCAUGAAAAUGGGUGCUUCACUGGCAAUAUCCGUUCGCAAUAGUUCGAGCGUUUAUCCGCGAAGAAAUUGAAUGUUAAUUUAUUAAGGAGAAGGAAGAGGAAAGGAAAAUUAUCUUUCUUCUCGCAAAUUCCUAUUGAU